GUUGCCAGCGAGUAAUGUCGGGGAACUCAAAGGAGACUGCCGGUGAUAAACCGGAGGAAGGUGGGGAUGACGUCAAGUCAUCAUGGCCCUUACGAGUAGGGCUACACACGUGCUACAAUGGCAUAUACAAAGAGAAGCGAACUCGCGAGAGCAAGCGGACCUCAUAAGGUAUGUCGUAGUCCGGAUUGGAGUCUGCAACUCGACUCCAUGAAGUCGGAAUCGCUAGUAAUCGUGGAUCAGAAUGCCACGGUGAAUACGUUCCCGGGCCUU
rnacentral:rRNA from 1 species